rnacentral:tRNA from 1 species
GCAGGGAUAGCAAAGUCUGGUCAAAUGCGGCAGACUCAAGCUCUGUUUGCCGCAGCAAGGUUCGAGGGUUCAAAUCCCUCUCCCUGCA